UACGUAGGUGGCAAGCGUUGUCCGGAAUUAUUGGGCGUAAAGCGCGCGCAGGCGGUCCUUUAAGUCUGAUGUGAAAGCCCACGGCUCAACCGUGGAGGGUCAUUGGAAACUGGGGGGACUUGAGUGCAGAAGAGGAAAAGCGGAAUUCCACGUGUAGCGGUGAAAUGCGUAGAGAUGUGGAGGAACACCAGUGGCGAAGGCGGCUUUCUGGUCUGUAACUGAC
rnacentral:rRNA from 1 species